rnacentral:misc_RNA from 1 species
AACGCACAUUGCGCCCCUCGGCAUUCCGGGGGGCAUGCCUGUUCGAGCGUCAUUACAACCAUCAAGCACAGCUUGGCAAUGGGCGACGUCUCCCCUCGGGGUGGCGCGCCCCAAAACCGUCGGCAGAGUCACGCGGACCCGCCGGGCGUAGCAGAAAAGGAAGGCUCACGCCGACCCCUCACGUCCAAUGCGAUCGCGCCUCGCGCCGUAAAACCAAUGGCCCGCAAGGGCCGCUCCAAAGGUUGACCUCGGAUCAGGUAGGGAUACCCGCUGAACUUAA